rnacentral:rRNA from 1 species
CGGCGCGCUUACGCAUGCAAGUCGAGCGAUGAGGUCCCUUCGGGGAGUAAUCAGCGGCAGACGGGUGAGUAACACGUAGGUAACCUGCCCUCAAGGCGGGGAUAACGCCUGGAAACGGGCGCUAAUACCGGAUGACCUUAGUUGGGGAAGAUCCGAUUAAGGAAAGGCUAUGGCGCUUGAGGAGGGGCCUGCGGCCCAUCAGUUAGUUGGUAGGGUAACGGCCUACCAAGGCGAAGACGGGUAGGGGGUGUGAGAGCACGGCCCCCCACACUGGGACUGAGACACGGCCCAGACUCCUACGGGAGGCAGCAGCGGGGAAUAUUGCGCAAUGGACGGAAGUCAGACGCAGCGACGCCGCGUGGGUGAAGAAGGCCUUCGGGUUGUAAAGCCCUUUUCUGAGGGAAGAGAAAGGACGGUACCUUAGGAAUAAGCGUCGGCUAACUACGUGCCAGCAGCCGCGGUAAGACGUAGGACGCGAGCGUUAUCCGGAUUUACUGGGCGUAAAGCGUGUGUAGGCGGCGUGACAAGUUGGGCGUGAAAGACCCGUGCUCAACGCGGGGAGGACGCACAAUACUGUCAGGCUAGAGGGCACCCGAGGGGUGUGGAAUUCCCGGAGUAGCGGUAAAAUGCGCCGAUAUCGGGGAGGAACACCGGUGG